GUCGUGCUCAGCCAGUGCGAGGCUUUCUUGUUACCGGCAUUGCUGCCAGGCGAGCGGCGGUGGCUAUAGCGCUCAUAGUUCUCCUGUUAACCCCCCGCUUCUCGACCGGGAGAGACCCGCCCCCCCACAUCGGCACCAACCGCCAGUGUACCCACCCACAGCGCCCGCCAGCCAGCUUCCCCGCAGGGCACCGCCAACAGGCCCCGGCGCUCCCAACAUGGCCGACAAC